UUAAGCGACUAAGCGUACACGGUGGAUGCCCUGGCAGUCAGAGGCGAUGAAGGACGUGCUAAUCUGCGAAAAGCGUCGGUAAGGUGAUAUGAACCGUUAUAGCCGGCGAUGUCCGAAUGGGGAAACCCAGUGCAAUUCGUUGCACUAUCGUUAACUGAAUACAUAGGUUAACGAGGCGAACCGGGGGAACUGAAACAUCUAAGUACCCCGAGGAAAAGAAAUCAACCGAGAUUCCCCCAGUAGCGGCGAGCGAACGGGGAGCAGCCCAGAGUCUGAAUCAGCUUGUGUGUUAGUGGAACGGUCUGGAAAGUCCGACGGUACAGGGUGAUAGUCCCGUACACCAAAAUGCACAGGUUGUGAACUCGAAGAGUAGGGCGGGACACGUGGUAUCCUGUCUGAAUAUGGGGGGACCAUCCUCCAAGGCUAAAUACUCCUGACUGACCGAUAGUGAACCAGUACCGUGAGGGAAAGGCGAAAAGAACCCCGGCGAGGGGAGUGAAAAAGAACCUGAAACCGUGUACGUACAAGCAGUGGGAGCACCUUCGGGUGUGACUGCGUACCUUUUGUAUAAUGGGUCAGCGACUUAUAUUCUGUAGCAAGGUUAACCGUAUAGGGGAGCCGCAGGGAAACCGAGUCUUAACUGGGCGUUAAGUUGCAGGGUAUAGACCCGAAACCCGGUGAUCUAGCCAUGGGCAGGUUGAAGGUUGGGUAACACUAACUGGAGGACCGAACCGACUAAUGUUGAAAAAUUAGCGGAUGACUUGUGGCUGGGGGUGAAAGGCCAAUCAAACCGGGAGAUAGCUGGUUCUCCCCGAAAGCUAUUUAGGUAGCGCCUCGUGAAUUCAUCUUCGGGGGUAGAGCACUGUUUCGGCUAGGGGGUCAUCCCGACUUACCAACCCGAUGCAAACUACGAAUACCGAAGAAUGUUAUCACGGGAGACACACGGCGGGUGCUAACGUCCGUCGUGAAGAGGGAAACAACCCAGACCGCCAGCUAAGGUCCCAAAGUCAUGGUUAAGUGGGAAACGAUGUGGGAAGGCACAGACAGCCAGGAUGUUGGCUUAGAAGCAGCCAUCAUUUAAAGAAAGCGUAAUAGCUCACUGGUCGAGUCGGCCUGCGCGGAAGAUGUAACGGGGCUAAACCAUGCACCGAAGCUGCGGCAGCGACACUAUGUGUUGUUGGGUAGGGGAGCGUUCUGUAAGCCUGCGAAGGUGACCUGUGAGGGUUGCUGGAGGUAUCAGAAGUGCGAAUGCUGACAUAAGUAACGAUAAAGCGGGUGAAAAGCCCGCUCGCCGGAAGACCAAGGGUUCCUGUCCAACGUUAAUCGGGGCAGGGUGAGUCGACCCCUAAGGCGAGGCCGAAAGGCGUAGUCGAUGGGAAACAGGUUAAUAUUCCUGUACUUGGUGUUACUGCGAAGGGGGGACGGAGAAGGCUAUGUUAGCCGGGCGACGGUUGUCCCGGUUUAAGCAUGUAGGCUGGUUAUCCAGGCAAAUCCGGAUAAUCAAGGCUGAGGUGUGAUGACGAGGCACUACGGUGCUGAAGUAACAAAUGCCCUGCUUCCAGGAAAAGCCUCUAAGCAUCAGGUAACAUCAAAUCGUACCCCAAACCGACACAGGUGGUCAGGUAGAGAAUACCAAGGCGCUUGAGAGAACUCGGGUGAAGGAACUAGGCAAAAUGGUGCCGUAACUUCGGGAGAAGGCACGCUGGUGUGUAGGUGAAGUCCCUGCGGAUGGAGCUGAGACCAGUCGAAGAUACCAGCUGGCUGCAACUGUUUAUUAAAAACACAGCACUGUGCAAACACGAAAGUGGACGUAUACGGUGUGACGCCUGCCCGGUGCCGGAAGGUUAAUUGAUGGGGUUAUCCGUAAGGAGAAGCUCUUGAUCGAAGCCCCGGUAAACGGCGGCCGUAACUAUAACGGUCCUAAGGUAGCGAAAUUCCUUGUCGGGUAAGUUCCGACCUGCACGAAUGGCGUAAUGAUGGCCAGGCUGUCUCCACCCGAGACUCAGUGAAAUUGAACUCGCUGUGAAGAUGCAGUGUACCCGCGGCAAGACGGAAAGACCCCGUGAACCUUUACUAUAGCUUGACACUGAACAUUGAGCCUUGAUGUGUAGGAUAGGUGGGAGGCUUUGAAGCGUGGACGCCAGUCUGCGUGGAGCCAACCUUGAAAUACCACCCUUUAAUGUUUGAUGUUCUAACGUUGGCCCCUUACCGGGGUUGCGGACAGUGUCUGGUGGGUAGUUUGACUGGGGCGGUCUCCUCCCAAAGCGUAACGGAGGAGCACGAAGGUUAGCUAAUCCUGGUCGGACAUCAGGAGGUUAGUGCAAUGGCAUAAGCUAGCUUGACUGCGAGCGUGACGGCGCGAGCAGGUGCGAAAGCAGGUCAUAGUGAUCCGGUGGUUCUGAAUGGAAGGGCCAUCGCUCAACGGAUAAAAGGUACUCCGGGGAUAACAGGCUGAUACCGCCCAAGAGUUCAUAUCGACGGCGGUGUUUGGCACCUCGAUGUCGGCUCAUCACAUCCUGGGGCUGAAGUAGGUCCCAAGGGUAUGGCUGUUCGCCAUUUAAAGUGGUACGCGAGCUGGGUUUAGAACGUCGUGAGACAGUUCGGUCCCUAUCUGCCGUGGGCGCUGGAGAAUUGAGGGGGGCUGCUCCUAGUACGAGAGGACCGGAGUGGACGCAUCACUGGUGUUCGGGUUGUCAUGCCAAUGGCACUGCCCGGUAGCUAAAUGCGGAAGAGAUAAGUGCUGAAAGCAUCUAAGCACGAAACUUGCCCCGAGAUGAGUUCUCCCUGAGACUUUAAGUCUCCUGAAGGAACGUUGAAGACGACGACGUUGAUAGGCCGGGUGUGUAAGCGCAGCGAUGCGUUGAGCUAACCGGUACUAAUGAACCGUGAGGCUUAACCUU
rnacentral:rRNA from 1 species